rnacentral:misc_RNA from 1 species
GAUGAAGAACGCAGCGAAAUGCGAUAAGUAAUGUGAAUUGCAGAAUUCAGUGAAUCAUCGAAUCUUUGAACGCACAUCGCGCCCGCCAGUAUUCUGGCGGGCAUGCCUGUUCGAGCGUCAUUUCAACCAUCAAGCCCCAGGCUUGUGUUGGGGACCUGCGGCUGCCGCAGGCCCUGAAAACCAGUGGCGGGCUCGCUGUCACACCGGGCGUAGUAGAUUUUAUCUCGCUCAGGGCGUGCUGCGGGUUCCGGCCGUUAAAAAGCCUUUUUUACCCAAGGUUGACCUCGGAUCAGGUAGGAAGACCCGCUGAACUUAAGCAUAUCAAUAAGCGGAGGA